UACGGGGGGAGCAAGCGUUGUCCGGAUUUACUGGGCGUAAAGCGCGUGUAGGCGGGAUGGUCAGUCAGGGGUGAAAUCUUACGGCUCAACCGUAAAUCUGCUCUUGAUACUGCCAUUCUUGAGUACGGAAGAGGGAAGUGGAAUUCCUGGUGUAGCGGUGAAAUGCGUAGAUAUCAGGAAGAACACCAGUAGCGAAGGCGGCUUCCUGGUCCGUUACUGACGCUGAGACGCGAAAGCGUGGGGAGCAAACAGGAUUAGAUACCCGCGUA
rnacentral:rRNA from 1 species